GCCGAAAUAAAAAGACAUUCUUUGAUUUUUUUUUCUUCGAAAAUAUCAUUUUUCGCAGUUGUUUCUUAUGAAUACGUUGUAAAAGAAAUAAUUACGUUAUUACCAAGAUCUGCCACUUGGCUGGUGAAAACAAGGCCAAAUCUAGCCUUAAUCACCGACGAAGUUGCACUGCUUCUAUUGCUGGCAAUUCGAAGACCUGAUCAGUUUCAUUUCGCUGCGAUGCUAAGCCAUGCAAUUUGGCCUCCAGAGUCAUGGCCAGUCACGGGUCAGUGGCCGUAGGAUUUUUUUUUUUUUUUUCUAAUGUAGGAAAAAGAAUUCUGCAGUCAGUUUUUCUUUGAGGUUUUUUAUUUAAUAAAAUGACUAAAAUAUCCUUCAAUCCUUAAAUUUAUCGAUAAAUACGUGGAACGUUAAUGGUUUCCAUGAAUGAAGAAUUGGAUCUCUACUUUGGUGAAGAAGAAACAGAAGCAGAACAACUCUAAACAAAUCUGAGUUAGUCAGCAUCUCCUCUUUGUUCAUCGCUUAUCAUUAAUUCUCUACAUGUUUAAUUAUAUUAAUUGUAUAGAGAAGUUUUAAACUCGUAUUCAUAGAAUUUUAAAAACUUAAACAUUCAUCUCUCAUCCAAUUUUUUUUAGAAUUUCUUGUUAGGAUAGAAUUGUGUUAAGAUUCAGGAAGAUGUGGCUGCAGAGUUGACUGUUUGACUGAAUGGUUUUUUCCUAUAUAAUAAAACGACAACGUUUUAGGGUUCAACAGUUGAUAAUUGGGUGGAGACGCAUCAUUUUCUUCUGUUGGGGAUGUCGUUUCUUUUCUUCGUACACUCCUCUUUGCUUUCUGCAAACUGUAGAAGAUAUUUGUAUCAACAGUGUUCAAUGAAUAAUUAAAAUUGUUAAUUUUGUC